UUAAGCGACUAAGCGUACACGGUGGAUGCCUAGGCAGUCAGAGGCGAUGAAGGGCGUGCUAAUCUGCGAAAAGCGUCGGUAAGCUGAUAUGAAGCGUUAUAACCGACGAUACCCGAAUGGGGAAACCCAGUGCAAUACGUUGCACUAUCGUUAGAUGAAUACAUAGUCUAACGAGGCGAACCGGGGGAACUGAAACAUCUAAGUACCCCGAGGAAAAGAAAUCAACCGAGAUUCCCCCAGUAGCGGCGAGCGAACGGGGAGGAGCCCAGAGUCUGAAUCAGUUUGUGUGUUAGUGGAAGCGUCUGGAAAGUCGCACGGUACAGGGUGAUAGUCCCGUACACCAAAAUGCACAGGCUGUGAACUCGAUGAGUAGGGCGGGACACGUGACAUCCUGUCUGAAUAUGGGGGGACCAUCCUCCAAGGCUAAAUACUCCUGACUGACCGAUAGUGAACCAGUACCGUGAGGGAAAGGCGAAAAGAACCCCGGCGAGGGGAGUGAAAUAGAACCUGAAACCGUGUACGUACAAGCAGUGGGAGCACCUUCGUGGUGUGACUGCGUACCUUUUGUAUAAUGGGUCAGCGACUUAUAUUUUGUAGCAAGGUUAACCGAAUAGGGGAGCCGUAGGGAAACCGAGUCUUAACUGGGCGUCUAGUUGCAAGGUAUAGACCCGAAACCCGGUGAUCUAGCCAUGGGCAGGUUGAAGGUUGGGUAACACUAACUGGAGGACCGAACCGACUAAUGUUGAAAAAUUAGCGGAUGACUUGUGGCUGGGGGUGAAAGGCCAAUCAAACCGGGAGAUAGCUGGUUCUCCCCGAAAGCUAUUUAGGUAGCGCCUCGUGAACUCAUCUUCGGGGGUAGAGCACUGUUUCGGCUAGGGGGCCAUCCCGGCUUACCAAACCGAUGCAAACUCCGAAUACCGAAGAAUGUUAUCACGGGAGACACACGGCGGGUGCUAACGUCCGUCGUGAAGAGGGAAACAACCCAGACCGCCAGCUAAGGUCCCAAAGUCAUGGUUAAGUGGGAAACGAUGUGGGAAGGCACAGACAGCCAGGAUGUUGGCUUAGAAGCAGCCAUCAUUUAAAGAAAGCGUAAUAGCUCACUGGUCGAGUCGGCCUGCGCGGAAGAUGUAACGGGGCUAAACCAUGCACCGAAGCUGCGGCAGCGACGUUUAGGCGUUGUUGGGUAGGGGAGCGUUCUGUAAGCCGUUGAAGGUGACCUGUGAGGGUUGCUGGAGGUAUCAGAAGUGCGAAUGCUGACAUAAGUAACGAUAAUGCGGGUGAAAAACCCGCACGCCGGAAGACCAAGGGUUCCUGUCCAACGUUAAUCGGGGCAGGGUGAGUCGACCCCUAAGGCGAGGCUGAAAAGCGUAGUCGAUGGGAAACAGGUUAAUAUUCCUGUACUUGGUGUUACUGCGAAGGGGGGACGGAGAAGGCUAGGCUGGCCGGGCGACGGUUGUCCCGGUUUAAGCGUGUAGGGGGAGUGACCAGGUAAAUCCGGUUGCUUAUCAACCCUGAGGCGUGAUGACGAUGCACCACGGUGCAGAAGCAGUUGAUGCCAUGCUUCCAGGAAAAGCCUCUAAGCAUCAGGUAACAUUAAAUCGUACCCCAAACCGACACAGGUGGUCAGGUAGAGAAUACUCAGGCGCUUGAGAGAACUCGGGUGAAGGAACUAGGCAAAAUGGUGCCGUAACUUCGGGAGAAGGCACGCUGGCGUUAGGUGAAAGGACUAGCUCCUGGAGCUGAAGCCAGUCGCAGAUACCAGCUGGCUGCAACUGUUUAAUAAAAACACAGCACUGUGCAAACACGAAAGUGGACGUAUACGGUGUGACGCCUGCCCGGUGCUGGAAGGUUAAUUGAUGGGGUCAGCCGCAAGGCGAAGCUCUUGAUCGAAGCCCCAGUAAACGGCGGCCGUAACUAUAACGGUCCUAAGGUAGCGAAAUUCCUUGUCGGGUAAGUUCCGACCUGCACGAAUGGCGUAAUGAUGGCCAGGCUGUCUCCACCCGAGACUCAGUGAAAUUGAACUCGCUGUGAAGAUGCAGUGUACCCGCGGCAAGACGGAAAGACCCCGUGAACCUUUACUAUAGCUUGACACUGAACAUUGAGCCUUGAUGUGUAGGAUAGGUGGGAGGCCUUGAAGUGUGGACGCCAGUCUGCAUGGAGCCAACCUUGAAAUACCACCCUUUAAUGUUUGAUGUUCUAACUCGGCCCCAUGAUCUGGGGUGAGGACAGUGUCUGGUGGGUAGUUUGACUGGGGCGGUCUCCUCCCAAAGAGUAACGGAGGAGCACGAAGGUUAGCUAAUCACGGUCGGACAUCGUGAGGUUAGUGCAAAGGCAUAAGCUAGCUUGACUGCGAGAGUGACGGCUCGAGCAGGUACGAAAGUAGGUCUUAGUGAUCCGGUGGUUCUGAAUGGAAGGGCCAUCGCUCAACGGAUAAAAGGUACUCCGGGGAUAACAGGCUGAUACCGCCCAAGAGUUCAUAUCGACGGCGGUGUUUGGCACCUCGAUGUCGGCUCAUCACAUCCUGGGGCUGAAGUAGGUCCCAAGGGUAUGGCUGUUCGCCAUUUAAAGUGGUACGCGAGCUGGGUUUAGAACGUCGUGAGACAGUUCGGUCCCUAUCUGCCGUGGGCGUUGGAAGAUUGAGAGGGGCUGCUCCUAGUACGAGAGGACCGGAGUGGACGAAUCACUGGUGUUCGGGUUGUCAUGCCAAUGGCAUUGCCCGGUAGCUAAAUUCGGAAGAGAUAACCGCUGAAAGCAUCUAAGCGGGAAACUUGCCUCGAGAUGAGUCUUCCCUGGGGCUUAAAGCCCCCUGAAGGAACGUUAAAGACUAUGACGUUGAUAGGCUGGGUGUGUAAGUGCAGCGAUGUAUUGAGCUAACCAGUACUAAUGAUCCGUGAGGCUUAACCUU
rnacentral:rRNA from 3 species